AUUGAACGCUGGCGGCAGGCCUAACACAUGCAAGUCGAACGAGUGGCGGACGGGUGAGUAAUGUCUGGGAAACUGCCCGAUGGAGGGGGAUAACUACUGGAAACGGUAGCUAAUACCGCCUACCAUCGGAUGUGCCCAGAUGGGAUUGGCUAGUAGGUGGGGUAACGGCUCACCUAGGCGACGAUCCCUAGCUGGUAUGAGAGGAUGACCGGCCACACGGGAACUGGGACACGGUCCAGGCCCCUGCGGGAGGCAGCAGGGGGGAGUAUUGCACAAUGGGCGCAAGCCGGAUGCAGCCAUGCCGCGUGUAUGAAGAAGGCCUUCGGGUUGUAAAGUACUUUCAGCGAGGGGGCGUUACUCGCAGAAGAAGCACCGGCUAACUCCGUGCCAGCAGCCGCGGUAUUC
rnacentral:rRNA from 1 species